rnacentral:lncRNA from 1 species
AACACCAAAAGAAAAUCAUAGGUGGAUGCCAAGCCAAAAAAGUUAUAAUGAUCAACCCAAUAUAGUAAAACGACAUGUCCUGCGUAGAUGCCUCUCGAUCGGUGAUUCAUGUGGGCAUCGGAGAGGAGUUUUAAGUCACAACCAACUUGGCUAAGGACAGGAAGGACAAGGUGAUUUAUGCAGGAAUGGGAGAUGAUAAAGCACCGAGAAACUUGUCCAGGGGCACAAAGGACAAGUAAAGAAAAAUGAAGUAGAAAGGGUCAGUCUUUUUGGGUGGCUUAAAAAAUAAGCUGCCUCUCCCCAGCUUAAAACUCCAAAUUUCUUGAGGCUUCUAAAUUAUUUAUCCCUUAAAAGUUCAUAAGCCUCAAUGAAUGAGAGAUCUAACUUAUAAGAACAGUCAGGGAGGAGGCAACUUAUUUUUUAAGCUGCCAAAAAAACCUGGUCCAAAUUAAGAGUCUUUUGAUCUGACUUGGUUGCAAAAAGACAAAUCAUACAAGAACGGGAAGUGGAAGGCCCCGCACUGUAAAAUACAAAGUGACAAGAAAGACUGAGUGAGUUGUUCUGCAGUUAAAAUAUUUGCAACAACAAUAUUUGUC